rnacentral:rRNA from 1 species
AGAGUUUGAUCCUGGCUCAGAAUCAACGCUGGCGGCGUGCCUAACACAUGCAAGUCGAACGCGAAAGUGGAGCAAUCCAUGAGUAGAGUGGCAAACGGGUGAGUAACGCGUGGGUGACCUGCCUUCGAGUGGGGGAUAACGUUCCGAAAGGGACGCUAAUACCGCAUAACAUCCUGCCUUUUAAGAGGUGGACAUCAAAGCCUGGGACCGCAAGGCCAGGCGCUUGAAGAGGGGCCCGCGUCCGAUUAGCUAGUUGGUGGGGUAAUGGCUCACCAAGGCAACGAUCGGUAGCCGGCCUGAGAGGGCGGACGGCCACACUGGGACUGAGACACGGCCCAGACUCCUACGGGAGGCAGCAGUGGGGAAUUGUUCGCAAUGGGCGCAAGCCUGACGACGCAACGCCGCGUGGAGGAUGAAGAUCUUCGGGUCGUAAACUCCUUUCGAUCGAGACGAAUGGCCCUUGGGUGAACAAUCCAGGGGAGUGACGGUACCGAGAGAAGAAGCCCCGGCUAACUCCGUGCCAGCAGCCGCGGUAAU